GACGAACGCUGGCGGCGUGCUUAACACAUGCAAGUCGAACGGAAAGGCCCUGCUUUUGUGGGGUGCUCGAGUGGCGAACGGGUGAGUAACACGUGAGUAACCUGCCCUUGACUUUGGGAUAACUUCAGGAAACUGGGGCUAAUACCGGAUAGGAGCUCCUGCUGCAUGGUGGGGGUUGGAAAGUUUCGGCGGUUGGGGAUGGACUCGCGGCUUAUCAGCUUGUUGGUGGGGUAGUGGCUUACCAAGGCUUUGACGGGUAGCCGGCCUGAGAGGGUGACCGGCAAAGUGGGGACGGGGAGACGCCCAAGCCUCCGGGGGGGGGAGGGGGGGGGAAUUAUGGAACAUGGGGGGGAGGCUUGAUGAGGCACCGCGGGGGGGGGGAGGGCGGCUUUGGGGUUGAAAACGGUUUGCGCUUGUGACGAGGGUGGGGUGAUGGGAUGGGGAAAAGAACCACCGCCUAACUACG
rnacentral:rRNA from 1 species